UACAGAGGGGGCAAGCGUUAUUCGGAAUUAUUGGGCGUAAAGGGCGCGUAGGCGGUUCUUCAAGUCUCUCGUGAAAUCCCUCGGCUUAACUGAGGACGUGCGGGAGAUACUGAAGGGCUUGAGUCCGGAAGAGGGUGGUGGAAUUCCCAGUGUAGCGGUGAAAUGCGUAGAUAUUGGGAGGAACAUCGGUGGCGAAGGCGGCCACCUGGGCCGGAACUGACGCUGAGGCGCGAAAGUGUGGGGAGCAAACGGG
rnacentral:rRNA from 1 species